AUUUCUGAGUAUGAAAAUAGUAAGGGGUAAAGCUGUACAGGUGUGUCUUGGGAUUAUUGGAAGGUGUAAAAACCUGAAAAAAAAGUUGGAUAAAAUAAAGUCACUAUUUGUAAUUCCAGUCAUUUAGUGUCAAUAGAAAAGAAAGCCUAUGGUAACAUUUGGCAUUUGGCACCAACACGAUGAAUAAAGCAUGAUACACCUGUACAGAAUGAGUAUACGGUUAAAGCUUGCAAUGCUUCAGGAUAAAUAUGUGAUAUAUUCAAUGUGUUUGCUACAUUCACUUUUCAAAAUAUAUUAGACUAACAGAAGCAAAAGUAGUUAUUCAAUGGAUGCCUGACACACGCAUCUUUUGACUAUGGGAUGAGAUAUUAAAACAUAAUUUGCUGUAUUCUCCAAAACAUAGUUAAGAGCAAGACUGGGGUGAGCUUCUACAACAA